rnacentral:ncRNA from 1 species
UAAUAAAAAUGAGUUUGAUCCUGGCUCAGAGUGAAGGCUAUAAGUCUGCUUGAAUACAUGCGAGUCGAAUGGUUUAGACCAUGGCGUACGGGUGAGUAAUAGGCUAAUAUCUAGCUCCAACUUUGGGAUAAUCCUAUCCCUCAGGGGAGAAAGUAAUGGGAGAAUACCAAAUAUUUUUGAAAGGUACGCCGGUUGGAGAUGAUUAGGUUCAGUAUUAGGUAGUUGGUAGGAUAAAGCUUACCAAGCCGAUGAUGCUUAGUUGGUCUGGUAGGACGAUCAAUCACACUGGGACUGAGACAAGGCCCAGGUUUCAUUUGAAGGCAGCAGUAAGGAAUAUUGCACAAUGAGCGAAAGCUUGAUGCAGCAAGACUUGGUGAGGGAUUGAAGGCUUAGGUUGUAAACCUCUUUUUUAACUGAGGAUAAUGACAGUAGGUUAAGAAUAAGUCCCGACUAACUUCGUGCCAGCAGUCGCGGUAAUACGGAGGGGGCAAGCCUUAUUCGUCAUAACUGGGCGUAAAGGGCCCGUAGGUUGCUUUCUGAAAGGUUAUUUGUUAAAGACUGUAGCUUAACUAUAGAAAAACAUUUAAAACAGGAAAGCUAGAGUCUGACAGAGGGAAAUAGAAUUUUUCAAUUAGGGUUAACCUCCGGAGAAGUGGAAGAGAAUAUCAGCAGCGAAGGCGAUUUCUUUGUUCAGUACUGACGCUGAGGGGCGAAGGCGUAGGUAGCGAACAGGAUUUGAGACCCUGGUAGUCUACGCUGUCAACGAUGAGUGCUAGUUUUUAGAAAUCUAGAGAAUAUAGCUAAGGCAUUAAGCACUCCGCCUGAGGAGUACGAGCGCAAGCUUAAAAAUCAACGGAAUUGGCGGGGGUUCAAACAAGUGGUGGAGCAUGUGGUUUAAUGCGAUAAUACGCGCGUAACCUUACCAGUUCUAGUAAGUCUGUCACUUUUACGGAGACGUAAUAAGUUUUGAGGCUUUCAGGUGUUGCAUGGCUGUCGUCAGCUCGUGUCGUGAGAUGUACGGUUAAUUCCUGUAACUGAGCGUAACCCUUAUCUUUCUUAUGUUUUGUAUUGGAUAAAACAAGAAAAACUGGAUAGAAACUGCCCACGUGGAGUGGGAGGAAGGUGGGGAUGAGGUCAAGUCUUCAUGGCCCUUAUGAACUGGGCUACACACGUGCUACAAUGGGAAGUACAACAAGUUGCAAAGAAGUAAUUCAAAGCCAAUCUUAAAAGCUUCUCUUAGUUCGGAUUGAGGGCUGCAACUCGCCCUCAUGAAGCUGGAAUCACUAGUAAUCGCGAAUCAGGAUGUCGCGGUGAAUACGUUACUGGGCCUUGCACACACCGCCCGUCACGUCCUGGGAGUUGACUUGGCCAGAAGAUUUUGGAAUAAACUUUUUAAGCUUAAUUUAUUCCUUAUAUGACCACCAUCAUAUUAGGAUAAAAAAAAAGAUAUUUUUUGUUAUUAAGUAAAAAAAGAAUGUCCUUUUUAAGGACAGGUAAGCAACUGGGAUGAAGUCGUAACAAGGUAGUUGUAGGGGAACCUGCGGCUGGAAAAAAU